AUGUCAGUACUGCCACUUUUGUGUAGGUGACACUGGUGACAUAUUUCCAUUAAAAACAAUAAAAGAAAAAGAAGGUUAAUAAAAUAAUUAAAAAAGAAAAAAAACUUCUACAAAAAUAUCCCUAAAAAAACAUAUUUGGUAUGAAAUAUAAAAUUAAGAAAGUAGAAAAAAUAUAUAAAAAUUCCCCCAAAAACUAUAUAACCCCAUACAAAUCCCUCACAAUGCCAUAACCAUGCACUGCCUGUCAGAAUAAUGCUAAGAGGAAUAAUACACUGCACCACAAUAGUAGUGCAGUGUUUUAUAGAAAUAAUCAGAUCUUUGGUGAAAGGUUGCCCUCUAAUGGGAAUAUGGGUGAAAAAAACAACCCAUAAAAUAAAAGUGUAAUAACAUGAUUUAUUAACCCCCCCCCUCCCCCACCAACAAAAAAAGAAAAAGAAAACAGUAGAAAGGCAGAAAUGCUUUUGAAAAAAGAAAUACACAAUAAUAAUUUAUAAAAUGUUCUGCCCCCUCCCCCAAAGAAAACAUAUAUUACCCUUAAAAUGUAUGAAUAAAUAAAUGAAAAUUAAGACAUAACCCAAACAUUACAAAAGCAAACCCUCCAAAAACCUGUCAAUAGUCUGCGUCAACAUCAUCCUGGGAUGAUGGGAGGAGUAGUACACUGCACUACUAUAGAAAUAAAAAUCCCUAUCAUCUAAAUCCCAAUGUGUUCCAUUUUUUUUUGUUCCUUUUUCUUAUGCGGUUUCAUAAUCCCUGAGAUAAGUAGUUCUGGCCCUAGAGUGUUAUAUAUAUUAGCGUCUGUAGCAUGUAUCAGGAACAUGUUAUCAUACCUGUGUCUUUUUACAGGUGACUGAUGUUCGGUGAGAAGGUGAAAGUGACCUAUACCCCCGUCAACUGCAAGAAAGGAACCACAGGACAGGUGACUGAUGUUCGGUGAGAAGGUGAAAGUGACCUAUACCCCCGUCAACUGCAAGAAAGGAACCACAGGACAGUUCUGGCACCAUAGGGGCUUCCUAAAGGUGACAUGCCCCCCAAAAACCAUUUGACGCUCCUUCCCUUCUGAGCCCUCUACUGGGCCCGCCGAACAAUUAACAUAGACAUAUGAGGUGACUGAUGUCCGGUGAGAAGGUGAAAGUGACCUAUACCCCCGUCAACUGCAAGAAAGGAAUCACAGGACAGGUAAUUAAUAUUUAUAUUAAUUACUGAUAGCAAUCAGGCUAGAUGUAAUAUCUAGACCUGCAGAGAUGUCAUAGUCUCCACCUUAUACAUGAACAUAUAUGUGUUGUUAAUAAGCAUAUCGUCUAUGGACAGCUUCUUAUAUAACACAACCAUGUCUCAGGUACAGAGAAUAGGAACAUUUAUGAUCCUUAAUAUCUGUUUUUUAUUUGUAGGAAUUCCUUUAUCAAUAUUUAAUAGAAUAGACCCGACUUACCCCUAGGUUUACAAGUUUCCUUUAGACAAACUGACUGCAGAUUUAGAACAUAACUGUAAUGUAAAGAAAAAUCUAUAAUUAGUUUUUGCUAGAAAUAUAUAAUUAUAAAAAUAAUGAGAAUUAAAAAACUAUAUAUUAAAAGACUAGAGCCAUAAUAAUACAUAGCCUGUUGAAAUAAUCAUGAAGCGCAUAAUACACUGCACUUUAAUACUAGUGCAAUGUAUUAUAUGAGCGAUCUUAAGAUCGCUGUUAAAAGUCCCCUUUGUAAACAAAACGUAAAGGCUAGCUAGGAAUUUUCAUCCGGAAUAACUAUUGCCGGAGGUUCCAAGCGUACAUUACCGUCAUCAUAGAUGGCAAUGUAUUCUGCCCGAAUCCUAUGUAAAUGAAGUUAAAAAUAAACAAUUUAUAAAAUAAUUCACCCCACCCCAACCCCUACAAAAAAAUAAAUGUUUAUAUAAAAAAGAAUAAAAAAAAAUAACCCAUUUCUCACCUCACAUAAGCUAUAAUUAAAAAUCGGCUGUCAACAUAAUGCUGACAGUGAUAAUACACUGCACUAUAACACUAUUGCAAUGUAUUAUAUGGGUGAUCAUAAGAUCACUGGGGAAAGGCCUCUCAUCGAAUUUGUUAAAAAAAAGACCAAAAAAUAAAAAAUAAAGAAAAAAAAGUUAAAAAAAAUAUUUAAACAGAACACCCUAAAAAAAAAAUAUUAAAAAAAGAAAAAAAACUUUAAAAACCAAAAACCCAAAAUAAAACCCAUGACAAUACUGUAACCAUACAUUGUCUUUUAGAAUAAUGACAAGAGGCGUAAGACACUAGUGCAGUGUAUUAUUACAUAGCUAUCGAAAGAUUGCUGCUCAAAGUCCCUUGAUGGGAAUAGUUAAAGGAAAUUUGUCACCAGUGUCACCUGCACUAACCUGUCGGUACCAACAGAUAGUGCAGGUGACACUAA